CCUACGGGAGGCAGCAGUGAGGAAUAUUGGUCAAUGGACGAGAGUCUGAACCAGCCAAGUAGCGUGAAGGAUGACUGCCCUAUGGGUUGUAAACUUCUUUUAUAAAGGAAUAAAACGAGGCACGUGUGCCUCUUUGCAUGUACUUUAUGAAUAAGGAUCGGCUAACUCCGUGCCAGCAGCCGCGGUAAUACGGAGGAUCCGAGCGUUAUCCGGAUUUAUUGGGGUUAAAGGGAGCGUAGAUGGGUUGUUAAGUCAGUUGUGAAAGUUUGCGGCUCAACCGUAAAAUUGCAAUUGAUACUGGCAGUCUUGAGUACAGUAGAGGUAGGCGGAAUUCGUGGUGUAGCGGUGAAAUGCUUAGAUAUCACGAAGAACCCCGAUUGCGAAGGCAGCUUACUAAACUGUGACUGACAUUGAUGCUCGAAAGUGUGGGUAUCAAACAGGAUUAGAUACCCCUGUAGUC
rnacentral:rRNA from 1 species